rnacentral:lncRNA from 1 species
AUAGCUAACUACAAAGUAGUUCAGGUGGGUAGGUACGUCAGCAUGCGUAGGCUGCAAAGGAACAAGUAAUAGGUUUACUCCAUGCUGAAAAGAGAAGAAAGAAAACACAACGUUUUGGCUGUCCACAGUUUAUUACAAGCAUCACGAGACUCACAGCUGCCAGCUCCAAAGUUUUAUGGUGUUGGGAAUUUGAUUCUGGGAGACAGGCCUGGAGCCCAUCUGGGUUCCGCAGCGAUUCCUCGAGACAAUCCGCAGUGUUCCAUCAGCGCUGGAAGCUUGUGCAUUGCACUGAUGGAGAAGACCCUCCCAGUUUGAAAACCACUUUCCCACCGGAGGUUGAUUUCCUUACUGCUCUUACGUCCCAGACAAACCUUUCACCUUGUGACUAGGCUCAGCAGAGGGUGUGAAUCAAGCACAAACCUAAGCCCAUUUGCAGACGAUUUUGCUGGGCAUCCAUCAGAGCUUUACAGAUGUCUUGCAGUUGUUGUAAAAACCACACAGGUUCUAUUCCCAAGUCAGUAAUAAAAUCCAGCAUUCUGUUACAACGUAUUUUCAUUUAUUCUGCUUACAUACUGUACCAGUCUACUACAUGUCCAGUCUUGUUUGACUGGCAUCAAUAGGUAAACAUUCCCAUGAGGAGAAAUUAGGUUUGGCCCGUUUGAGAAGGCAGCCUCUAUUUGAGGAUCAUAAUUGUUGGCAUGUAUGUAAAGCAGUGGUGCCCACGGAGUGCUGAGCACUUGGAAUAAAAGUAUUUCCACCGCAGUUUUCCUACUACUCUGCCGGGUCUGU